rnacentral:rRNA from 1 species
AGCGAACGCUGGCGGCAGGCCUAACACGUGCAAGUCGAACGAACUCUUCGGAGUUAGUGGCGGACGAGUGAGUAACACGUGGGAACGUGCCUUUUGGUUCGGAAUAACUCAGGGAAACUUGUGCUAAUACCGAAUGUGCCCUUCGGGGGAAAGAUUUAUCGCCAUUAGAGCGGCCCGCGUCUGAUUAGCUAGUUGGUGAGGUAACGGCUCACCAAGGCGACGAUCAGUAGCUGGUCUGAGAGGAUGACCAGCCACACUGGGACUGAGACACGGCCCAGACUCCUACGGGAGGCAGCAGUGGGGAAUCUUGCGCAAUGGGCGAAAGCCUGACGCAGCCAUGCCGCGUGAAUGAUGAAGGUCUUAGGAUUGUAAAAUUCUUUCACCGGGGACGAUAAUGACGGUACCCGGAGAAGAAGCCCCGGCUAACUUCGUG